AGGGAAUCUUCCACAAUGGACGAAAGUCUGAUGGAGCAACGCCGCGUGAGUGAAGAAGGGUUUCGGCUCGUAAAACUCUGUUGUUAAAGAAGAACAUAUCUGAGAGUAACUGUUCAGGUAUUGACGGUAUUUAACCAGAAAGCCACGGCUAACUACGUGCCAGCAGCCGCGGUAAUACGUAGGUGGCAAGCGUUGUCCGGAUUUAUUGGGCGUAAAGCGAGCGCAGGCGGUUUUUUAAGUCUGAUGUGAAAGCCUUCGGCUCAACCGAAGAAGUGCAUCGGAAACUGGGAAACUUGAGUGCAGAAGAGGACAGUGGAACUCCAUGUGUAGCGGUGAAAUGCGUAGAUAUAUGGAAGAACACCAGUGGCGAAGGCGGCUGUCUGGUCUGUAACUGACGCUGAGGCUCGAAAGUAUGGGUAGCAAACAGGAUUAGAUACCCUGGUAGUCCAUACCGUAAACGAUGAAUGCUAAGUGUUGGAGGGUUUCCGCCCUUCAGUGCUGCAGCUAACGCAUUAAGCAUUCCGCCUGGGGAGUACGGCCGCAAGGCUGAAACUCAAAGGAAUUGACGGGGGCCCGCACAAGCGGUGGAGCAUGUGGUUUAAUUCGAAGCUACGCGAAGAACCUU
rnacentral:rRNA from 2 species